rnacentral:rRNA from 1 species
CCAGUGGAUGGCAUGGGCGAGAGCCUGAUCCAGCCAUGCCGCGUGCAGGAAGACUGCCCUAUGGGUUGUAAACUGCUUUUACAGAGGAAGAACCACUCCCACGUGUGGGAGUUUGACGGUACUCUGCGAAUAAGGAUCGGCUAACUCCGUGCCAGCAGCCGCGGUAAUACGGAGGAUCCGAGCGUUAUCCGGAAUCAUUGGGUUUAAAGGGUCCGUAGGCGGGCAAUUAAGUCAGUGGUGAAAGUCUUCCGCUCAACGGGAGAACUGCCAUUGAUACUGAUUGUCUUGAGUUAUUAUGAAGUGGUUAGAAUGAGUAGUGUAGCGGUGAAAUGCAUAGAUAUUACUCAGAAUACCGAUUGCGAAGGCAGAUCACUAAUAAUACACUGACGCUGAUGGACGAAAGCGUAGGUAGCGAACAGGAUUAGAUACCCUGGUAGUCUACGCCGUAAACGAUGGUUACUAGCUGUUCGGCCCGAUUAAGGGGUGAGUGGUUAAGCGAAAGUGAUAAAUAAACCACCUGUGGAGUACGUUCGCAUUAAUGAGACUCAACGGAAAUUGACC